rnacentral:rRNA from 1 species
UCCUGGCUACAGAACGAACGCUGGCGGCAUGCCUAACACAUGCAAGUCGAACGAGACCUUCGGGUCUAGUGGCGCACGGGUGCGUAACGCGUGGGAACCUGCCUUUAGGUUCGGAAUAACUCAGAGAAAUUUGAGCUAAUACCGGAUAAUGUCUUCGGACCAAAGAUUUAUCGCCUUUAGAUGGGCCCGCGUUGGAUUAGCUAGUUGGUGGGGUAAAGGCCUACCAAGGCGACGAUCCAUAGCUGGUCUGAGAGGAUGAUCAGCCACACUGGGACUGAGACACGGCCCAGACUCCUACGGGAGGCAGCAGUGGGGAAUAUUGGACAAUGGGCGAAAGCCUGAUCCAGCAAUGCCGCGUGAGUGAUGAAGGCCUUAGGGUUGUAAAGCUCUUUUACCCGAGAUGAUAAUGACAGUAUCGGGAGAAUAAGCUCCGGCUAACUCCGUG